rnacentral:rRNA from 1 species
GACGAACGCUGGCGGCGUGCUUAACACAUGCAAGUCGAACGGUGAAGCGCCUUCCUUUUUGGUGGGUGUGGAUGAGUGGCGAACGGGUGAGUAACACGUGAGUAACCUGCCCCCUUCUUCUGGAUAACCGCAUGAAAGUGUGGCUAAUACGGGAUAUUCUGGGUCUGUCGCAUGAUGGGUCUGGGAAAGAUAUUGUUUCGGUGGGGGAUGGGCUCGCGGCCUAUCAGCUUGUUGGUGGGGUGAUGGCCUACCAAGGCGGUGACGGGUAGCCGGCCUGAGAGGGUGGACGGUCACACUGGGACUGAGACACGACCCAGACUGCUACGGGAGGCAGCAGUGGGGAAUAUUGCACAAUGGGCGCAAGCCUGAUGCAGCGACGCCGCGUGAGGGAUGGAGGCCUUCGGGUUGUGAACCUCUUUCGCCAGUGAAGCAGGCCUGCCUCGUUUGUGGGUGGGUUGACGGUAGCUGGAUAAGAAGCGCCGGCUAACUACGU